rnacentral:rRNA from 1 species
UAUAGAGUUUUAAAUCAUGGCUCAGGGGAACGCUGGCGGCGUGCUAAUACAUGCAAGUCGAGCGGACAGAAGGGAGCUUGCUCCCGGAUGUUAGCGGCGGACGGGUGAGUAACACGUGGGUAACCUGCCUGUAAGACUGGGAUAACUCCGGGAAACCGGAGCUAAUCCCGGAUAGUUCCUUGAACCGCAUGGUUCAAGGAUGAAAGACGGUUUCGGCUGUCACUUACAGAUGGACCCGCGGCGCAUUAGCUAGUUGGUGGGGUAAUGGCUCACCAAGGCGACGAUGCGUAGCCGACCUGAGAGGGUGAUCGGCCACACUGGGGACUGAGACACGGCCCAGACUCCUACGGGAGGCAGCAGUAGGGAAUCUUCCGCAAUGGACGAAAGUCUGACGGAGCAACGCCGCGUGAGUGAUGAAGGUUUUCGGAUCGUAAAGCUCUGUUGUUAGGGAAGAACAAGUGCGAGAGUAACUGCUCGCACCUUGACGGUACCUAACCAGAAAGCCACGGCUAACUACGUGCCAGCAGCCGCGGUAAUACGUAGGUGGCAAGCGUUGUCCGGAAUUAUUGGGCGUAAAGGGCUCGCAGGCGGUUUCUUAAGUCUGAUGUGAAAGCCCCCGGCUCAACCGGGGAGGGUCAUUGGAAACUGGGAAACUUGAGUGCAGAAGAGGAGAGUGGAAUUCCACGUGUAGCGGUGAAAUGCGUAGAGAUGUGGAGGAACACCAGUGGCGAAGGCGACUCUCUGGUCUGUAACUGACGCUGAGGAGCGAAAGCGUGGGGAGCGAACAGGAUUAGAUACCCUGGUAGUCCACGCCGUAAACGAUGAGUAAAUGAAGUGUUAGGGGGUUUCCGCCCCUUAGUGCCUGCAAGCUAAAA